CCCCCCCCCCCCCCCUCAUUUCUCCAUCUCUCUCACUAUCCGCUCAGAGCCGCUGCCAGAAAUCGCCUACGACGGCGACGCACUCUAAAUCCACCCAAAAUUUCACCCCAUACUCCCCAUCACCUCCUCAUGCCCCUCCCGUCAUAAGAUUUCCAAAAAAAACACUAGAUCUCUUCGAUUACUAGAUGUAGGUUUGGCCGAAAAUGCAAAAUCACCCAUUUUCAUCUCUUGACCGAUUCCGACCCCUUUUCACGUUAAAAUUUAUAUCGAACGAUGGAUUUUGACAUAAGCUGUCGAUUGGUGUUAGUUUUAGUGUGAUUUCAUGUUCGCUGGGAGCUGGUCAUUUUCUGUUUGACCCAUCUGAAAACUUCAAAUAGUUUCUCGCAUUCUCUCUCCCUCAUUCAUAGCCGUCCGAACCAUAAGCCAAGAACAUAAGGAACGUUCAAGGUAGCAGACCUUUAGGGUUCAAAUUCCUCCAACCUCUUCAAUUGAUUUUUACCGGCCAGUUGAUCGAUAUCGUUAUGUGUAGCACCGGUUCCGCUUUCGUGCGUUGAACCAGUGUUCAUGUCACGGCAUUGGUUGUUGUCCGGGUUUCUUUUGCCGACAGUUGGACCACCAUCGGUUGGUUUGAAGUUGAAGAAAUGUCCAUAUCCAGCAGUAAUGUAUUGACCAGUGCUAUAUAGAUCUGGAAUUUUGAAGAAGAAAUAUGGAGGAGUUCGUUUGUAUUUUGAUUUGAUCUCAGUUACGUUGUUAUUUAGUUUAGGAUUUGGAGACUAUUUCUUAUGGAUAGUUUUUUUUUUGGUGUAAAAAUGAGUUGAAAACAGGUUUGUUGUUAUGAAUAGAAUUGUACUUAGAGUGAAUCUCUAUCAUUUAGAGAGUUUGUUACUUUGUGGCUAAGUCAUUUCCUCCCCAUAAAUAGAUGGGCUUUACCUCAUUGUAAAUGAUCUGAAAUUCAAUAAGAAUUACCUCUCUCUUUCCUUGCAAUA